rnacentral:rRNA from 1 species
UACAGAGGGGGCAAGCGUUGUUCGGAAUUACUGGGCGUAAAGAGCGUGUAGGCGGUCUAGCAAGUCAGAUGUGAAAUCCCGGAGCCUAACUCCGGAAGUGCAUUUGAAACUGCUAGGCUUGAGUGAUGUAGAGGUUGGCGGAAUACCCAGUGUAGAGGUGAAAUUCGUAGAUAUUGGGUAGAACACCGGUGGCGAAGGCGGCCAACUGGGCAUUAACUGACGCUGAGACGCGAAAGCGUGGGGAGCAAACAGG